UCCCGGGUGCCGCGGUGCGGGUCAGCGGCCGGGGGUCGGUGCUGGCCGACGUCGAGGCCGGCCCGGCGAUCGUGGUCGCCACCCCGGGU
rnacentral:tRNA from 1 species